AAUGAACGCUGGCGGCGUGCCUAACACAUGCAAGUCGUACGAGAAAUCUCCCGCUUGCGGGAGAGAGUAAAGUGGCGCACGGGUGAGUAACGCGUGGGUAACCUGCCCCCGAAUCGGGGAUAACUUCGCGAAAGCGGAGCUAAUACCGGAUAAGACCACGUCCCGUUUGCGGGACGAGGUAAAAGCUGACCUCUCCAUGGAAGUUAGUGUUUGGGGAUGGGCCCGCGUCCUAUCAGCUUGUUGGUGGGGUAACGGCCUACCAAGGCAACGACGGGUGGCUGGUCUGAGAGGAUGAUCAGCCACACUGGAACUGGGACACGGUCCAGACUCCUACGGGAGGCAGCAGUGAGGAAUUUUGCGCAAUGGGCGAAAGCCUGACGCAGCAACGCCGCGUGGGUGAAGAAGGCCUUCGGGUCGUAAAGCCCUGUCAGGUGGGAAGAAACCUUCCGGUACUAAUAAUGCCGGAACUUGACGGUACCACCAGAGGAAGCACCGGCCAACUCCGUG
rnacentral:rRNA from 1 species